rnacentral:tRNA from 1 species
GCUGAUGUAGCUCAGGCGGUAGAGCACUUCCUUGGUAAGGAAGAGGUUCGUGGGUUCAAGUCCCAUCAUCAGCUCCA